rnacentral:rRNA from 1 species
CCGGAGCUAACCUUAAAUGACCCCUGGGGAGACGGCCGCAAGGUUAAACUCAAAUGAAUUGAGGGGGCCCGCCCACAAAAAAACAUGUGGUUUAAUUUGAUGCAACGCGAAGAACCUUACCUAUCUUGACAUCCAAGAAACCUGCAGAGAAGGGGUGUGCCUUUGGGAGCUUUGAAACAGGUGUGCAUGGCGUUGUCAGCUCUGUUGUGAAAUGUUGGGUAAGUCCCGCAACGAGCGCACCCUUAUCCUUUUUCCCCUUAGGUGGGAACUCAAGGGAGACUGCCGGUGAUAAACCGGAGGAAGGUGGGGAUGACGUCAAGUCAUCAUGGCCCUUACGAGUAGGGCUACACACGUGCUACAAUGGCGUAUACAAAGAGAAGGACUCGCGAGAGCAACGGACCUCAUAAAGUCCUUUUUAAACCGGAGGAGUUGGCUGCUCCGAGUCUGGCCUCCAGUGAGAGUG